AGAUUGAACGCUGGCGGCAUGCCUUACACAUGCAAGUCGAACGGCAGCACGGGAGCAAUCCUGGUGGCGAGUGGCGAACGGGUGAGUAAUACAUCGGAACGUGCCCAGUUGUGGGGGAUAGCCCGGCGAAAGCCGGAUUAAUACCGCAUACGACCUACGGGUGAAAGCGGGGGAUCGCAAGACCUCGCGCUAUUGGAGCGGCCGAUGUCGGAUUAGCUUGUUGGUAGGGUAAAAGCCUACCAAGGCUACGAUCCGUAGCUGGUCUGAGAGGACGACCAGCCACACUGGGACUGAGACACGGCCCAGACUCCUACGGGAGGCAGCAGGUGGGGAAUUUGGACAAUGGGCGAAAGCCUGAUCCAGCCAUGCCGCGUGCGGGAAGAACGGCCGUUCGGGUUAGUAACCGUCUUUUCGUCGAGGGUAAGAAACGGUUCGAA
rnacentral:rRNA from 1 species